rnacentral:rRNA from 1 species
UACGUAGGGUGCAAGCGUUGUCCGGAAUUACUGGGCGUAAAGGGCGCGUAGGCGGCCUUCUAAGUCGAACGUGAAAUCCCCGGGCUCAACCCGGGAACUGCGUCCGAUACUGGAAGGCUUGAAUCCGGGAGAGGGAUGCGGAAUUCCAGGUGUAGCGGUGAAAUGCGUAGAUAUCUGGAGGAACACCGGUGGCGAAGGCGGUCCUCUGGGCCUGUACUGACGCUGAGGAGCGAAAGCGUGGGGAGCGAACAGG